UACGAAGGGUGCAAGCGUUGCUCGGAAUUACUGGGCGUAAAGCGUGCGCAGGCGGCGCGUUAAGACAGGUGUGAAAGCCCCGAGCUUAACUUGGGAAUUGCGCUUGUGACUGGCGUGCUGGAGUGUGGCAGAGGGAGGUGGAAUUCCACGUGUAGCAGUGAAAUGCGUAGAUAUCGAGAGGAACACCUGCGGCGAAGGCGGGUUGCUGGGCUGACACUGACGCUGAGGCGCGAAAGCGUGGGGAGCAAACAGG
rnacentral:rRNA from 1 species